rnacentral:rRNA from 1 species
UGGAGUCUGCAACUCGACUCCAUGAAGUCGGAAUCGCUAGUAAUCGCGAAUCAGAAUGUCGCGGUGAAUACGUUCCCGGGCCUUGUACACACCGCCCGUCACACCAUGGGAGUGGAUUGCACCAGAAGUAGUUAGUCUAACCUUCGGGAGGACGAUUACCACGGUGUGGUUCAUGACUGGGGUGAAGUCGUAACAAGGUAGCCGUAGGGGAACCUGCGGCUGGAUCACCUCCUUAACGA